rnacentral:tRNA from 1 species
GGGAACUUGGUGUAUAUUGGUAGUCAGCACAACUGGUUGUGGCCCAGUUAGGAACGGUUCAAUUCCGUUAGUUCCCUC